AGAGAGGGGCAGUCGGUCUGUACAUGCGUGAGGUGGCGAGAGGCGUGUCCAGGGGGCGGCUAGUAGCGUGUGCCACCGUGGAAAUAUGUACAGACAUAAAGAAGACGCCCUCAAGAAAGGCCUGAGUCCAGACCGAGACCCAGAGAAAUGUAAACAAACGCACCAGUCAGACUUGAUAUAGGAGUGAAUUUGUUGCUUUUUAAAGCGGCAGUCGGUCUGUACAUGUGUGAGGUGGCGAGGGGUGUCGCCAGGGGGCGGCUAGUAGCGUCUGCCACCAGGGAAAUAUGUAAAAACAUAAAAAAGACGCUUCUCAAGAAAGAGAGGGGCAGUCGGUCUGUACAUGCGUGAGGUGGCGAGAGGCGUGUCCAGGGGGCGGCUAGUAGCGUGUGCCACCGUGGAAAUAUGUACAGACAUAAAGAAGACGCCCUCAAGAAAGGCCUGAGUCCAGACCGAGACACAGAGAAAUGUAAACAAACGCACCAGUCAGACUUGAUAUAGGAGUGAAUUUGUUGCUUUUUAAAGCGGCAGUCGGUCUGUACAUGUGUGAGGUGGCGAGGGGUGUCGCCAGGGGGCGGCUAGUAGCGUCUGCCACCAGGGAAAUAUGUAAAAACAUAAAAAAGACGCUUCUCAAGAAAGGUAAGGCCGGUUGCAGCUUUUAUUUUUUCUUUAUUUCUUUCCAUCAGGUUAGUUUUAUAUUAAUUCAGUUAGUUAGGUUUGGUUAAGUCUCUCUCUCUCUCUCU